GAUGAACGCUGGCGGCGUGCCUAAUACAUGCAAGUCGAGCGAACAGACGAGGAGCUUGCUCCUCUGACGUUAGCGGCGGACGGGUGAGUAACACGUGGAUAACCUACCUAUAAGACUGGGAUAACUUCGGGAAACCGGAGCUAAUACCGGAUAAUUUAUUGAACCGCAUGGUUCAAUAGUGAAAGACGGUUUUGCUGUCACUUAUAGAUUGAUCCGCGCCGCAUUAGCUAGUUGGUAAGGUAACGGCUUACCAAGGCAACGAUGCGUAGCCGACCUGAGAGGGUGAUCGGCCACACUGGAACUGAGACACGGUCCAGACUCCUACGGGAGGCAGCAGUAGGGAAUCUUCCGCAAAGGGCGAAAGCUUGACGGAGCAACGCCGCGUGAGUGAUGAAGGUCUUCGGAUCGUAAAACUCUGUUAUUAGGGAAGAACAAAUGUGUAAGUAACUAUGCACGUCUUGACGGUACCUAAUCAGAAAGCCACGGCUAACUACGUG
rnacentral:rRNA from 1 species